GCUGGUGUAUAUGACGCUGAGGUCCCACCUGUUCCCAUCCCGAACACAGAAGUUAAGCUCAGCGGUGCCGAAAAUACUUGGAGGGUGACUUCCCGGGAAGAUAGGUCUAUGCCAGCU
rnacentral:rRNA from 1 species